ensembl:rRNA 5S_rRNA 5S ribosomal RNA
AUUUAUGAUCACACCACCCUGAACAUGCCUCAUCUCAUCUGAUCUCAGAAGCUAAGCAGGAUUGGGCCUGGUUAGUACUCUAAGGGAAGAACUGAGUUUCUGACAUG